rnacentral:rRNA from 2 species
GGACUACCAGGGUAUCUAAUCCCGUUUGCUCCCCUGGCUUUCGCGCCUCAGCGUCAGAAAAGGUCCAGCACGUCGCUUUCGCCACCGGCGUUCCUUCCGAUAUCUACGCAUUUCACCGCUCCACCGGAAGUUCCACAUGCCCCUACCUCCCUCAAGACGACCAGUAUCAGAAGCUAUUUUCCAGUUGAGCUGAAAGAUUUCACCCCUGACUUGGCCCCCCGCCUACGCGCCCUUUAAGCCCAGUGAAUCCGAACAACGUUUGCACGGUUCGUCUUACCGCGGCUGCUGGCAC